rnacentral:misc_RNA from 1 species
AAAGUGCGAUAAGCAAUGCGAAUUGCAGAAUUCCGCGAAUCAUCAGAUUCUUGAACGCAAAUGGCGCUGGAGGGAUCUCCUUCCAGCAUGUCUGUUUCAGUGUCUGAAAACUUCCAACAAAGGUAUAUUUUUUAUAAAAUAUACCUAACUUGAUGUGUUUGACUUGAAAGUAUAGAGAAGAGUGUGGUAACACAUUCCCACUCACAUUUUCAUAGUCUCAUACUAAUUCAUGUAUGCACGGAUCUUUGGGUCCAUCGAAUUGGUCAUCGAUUUAUUCGGUGAUUUCGAUGCGAUAUAAAUUACUCAAUUAUCCAAUGAGUGCAUAGAAAUCACAACAAUAAGACUUAAUCAUAUUUUGCAUCUGAAAUCAGGCAAGAACACCCGCUGAACUUAA